UACGUAGGGUGCAAGCGUUGUCCGGAAUUAUUGGGCGUAAAGAGCUCGUAGGCGGUCUGUCACGUCGGCUGUGAAAACCCGGGGCUCAACCCCGGGCCUGCAGUCGAUACGGGCAGACUAGAGUGUGGUAGGGGAGACUGGAAUUCCUGGUGUAGCGGUGGAAUGCGCAGAUAUCAGGAGGAACACCGAUGGCGAAGGCAGAUCUCUGGGCCAUUACUGACGCUGAGGAGCGAAAGCGUGGGGAGCGAACAGG
rnacentral:rRNA from 1 species